rnacentral:siRNA from 1 species
UAGCUGCCCGAACCCGCGCUGC